rnacentral:rRNA from 1 species
CGAACGAGAUCUUCGGAUCUAGUGGCGCACGGGUGCGUAACGCGUGGGAAUCUGCCCUUGGGUUCGGAAUAACUUCUGGAAACGGAAGCUAAUACCGGAUGAUGACGUAAGUCCAAAGAUUUAUCGCCCAAGGAUGAGCCCGCGUAGGAUUAGCUAGUUGGUGAGGUAAAGGCUCACCAAGGCGACGAUCCUUAGCUGGUCUGAGAGGAUGAUCAGCCACACUGGGACUGAGACACGGCCCAGACUCCUACGGGAGGCAGCAGUAGGGAAUAUUGGACAAUGGGGGAAACCCUGAUCCAGCAAUGCCGCGUGAGUGAUGAAGGCCUUAGGGUUGUAAAGCUCUUUUACCCGGGAUGAUAAUGACAGUACCGGGAGAAUAAGCUCCGGCUAACUCCGUGCCAGCAGCCGCGGUAAUACGGAGGGAGCUAGCGUUGUUCGGAAUUACUGGGCGUAAAGCGCACGUAGGCGGCUAUUCAAGUCAGAGGUGAAAGCCCGGGGCUCAACCCCGGAACUGCCUUUGAAACUAGAUAGCUUGAAUCCAGGAGAGGUGAGUGGAAUUCCGAGUGUAGAGGUGAAAUUCGUAGAUAUUCGGAAGAACACCAGUGGCGAAGGCGGCUCACUGGACU